AGCAGCCGCGGUAAUUCCAGCUCCAAUAGCGUAUAUUAAAGUUGUUGCAGUUAAAAAGCUCGUAGUUGAAUUUCGGGGCCAGUAGGUUGGUCGUGCCACUGGUAUGCACUGGUCUCACUGGUCCCUCCUUCUUGUAGAACCGUGAUGGCAUUAAUUUGUUGUUGCGGGGAAACAGGACUGUUACUUUGAAAAAUUAGAGUGCCUAAAGCAGGCUCGCGCUUGAAUACAUUAGCAUGGAAUAACGGAAUAGGACGAUCGAACCUAUUUUGUUGGUUUCUAGGAUCGACGUAAUGAUUAAUAGGGAUAGUUGGGGGCAUUAGUAUUCAAUUGUCAGAGGUGAAAUUCUUGGAUUUAUUGAAGACUAACUACUGCGAAAGCAUUUGCCAAGGAUGUUUUCAUUAAUCAAGAACGAAAGUUAGGGGGAUCGAAGACGAUCAGAUACCGUCGUAGUCUUAACCAUAAACUAUGCCGACUAGGGAUCGGAUGAAGUUAAUUUUUUAAUGUACUCAUUCGGCGCCUU
rnacentral:rRNA from 1 species